rnacentral:rRNA from 1 species
UACGUAGGGGGCAAGCGUUGUCCGGAUUUAUUGGGCGUAAAGAGCGUGUAGGCGGUCAGGUAGGUCCGUUGUGAAAACUCGAGGCUCAACCUCGAGACGCCGAUGGAAACCAUCUGACUAGAGUCCGGAAGAGGAGGAGUGGAAUUCCUGGUGUAGCGGUGAAAUGCGCAGAUAUCAGGAGGGAACACCCAAUGGCGAAGGCAGCACUCUGGGACGUGACUGACGCUGAGACGCGAAAGCGUGGGGAGCAAACAGG